rnacentral:misc_RNA from 1 species
GAUGAAGAACGCAGCGAAAUGCGAUAAGUAGUGUGAAUUGCAGAAUUCAGUGAAUCAUCGAAUCUUUGAACGCACAUUGCGCCCCAUGGUAUUCCGUGGGGCAUGCCUGUUCGAGCGUCAUUUACCCCCUCAAGCCCCCGGGCUUGGUGUUGGGGAUCGGCGUGCCCUCGCGGCGCGCCGUCCCCUAAAUCUAGUGGCGGUCUCGCUGUAGCUUCCUCUGCGUAGUAGCAACACUCGCACUGGAUCGCAGCGCGGCCACGCCGUUAAACCCCCCACUUCUGAAAGUUUGACCUCGGAUCAGGUAGGAAUACCCGCUGAACUUAAGCAUAUCAAUAAGCGGAGGA